GCAUAAUAAAGUACAUCAACGGAGCCUGGUAACGUUAUUCUUAGAUCCGUGAGUGCUUAACCCACGGUAACUCAAGGUGAGUUAGGCUUUUACCUCCAGUAAAAGUUAAAAACUCCCCUGUAAUAUUAUCUUGUCAUCUUCGUCAUAAGAGAGAAACAGAAAAGCUCAUAAAGUUCAUGACAUUUCAAGCUUGCUAGAUCUGUCUAGCGGUGGUUGCUAGAUCUGUCAAGCGCUGGUUGCUAAAUCUGUCAAUUUCUGGUGUGCAGUUGCCGAUAGUUGUUUCGUAUGAGACCGUGGAAACUGUUGUGUCCACAAACAAUGCAGUGCCUCAUUUAGUAGAACCACCGAAGGAGGGUAUGGUAUUCAAAAGCUGGCAGGACAUUGAGGUCUACUUUAAACAAUAUGCACAACAGCAUGGUUUUGGUGUAAGUAGGGUUCAAGGUGCAUAUAAUACGAAAAUCAAAGAGCGUAGGGCCACUGCGUGGAGGUGUGAAUGCUGGGGUGCGCCGGACAUGAGGGCACAAAGGGAGGCAAAGAAGAGGGCGACGGCCAUGGAUGUUGGUGGAACCAGGGGCAAUGUUAAUGGUGUGAUAGGGCAAGAUGAGCUGAAACAAGGCAAGAGAAAAUCCAAAAAGUGUCAAUGUGAAGCAAAUACUUACGCUAGUAUUAAUGGCAAAGAUGAGUGGGUGUUAAGAUCUGUGGACCUUACACAUACUGGCCAUAACCCCACCCCUAGCAAGGCAAAUCUGGUGAAAGAGUAUCGAAUGCAGCAUUAUACUUCAUCGGUUCGUAAAAGGCUUUUGAACUAUUACGAGGAGGGUGUUCCUAUUUCUCAAAUUCAUGGGUUCUUAUCCCAUGCAAAGGACAAAUUGCCUAAUGUAAAGGAUUUGCAACAUGAGGUGUACAAGGAGAGGAGAUUGAAAAUGGAGGGUGGGGACGCUGUAGCUAUGAUGAGGUAUUUCGAAAAGAUGCCAGCUGACAACCAAAACUUUUACCAUGCUCAUCGUCUGGAUGAACAAGGUCGGCUUAAGGAUGUGCUUUGGGUGGAUGCAAGGAGCCGGGCUGCUUACGAGCACAAUGGGACGUUGUACGCUUUGAUGCGACGUAUUUGAUGAACGAGUACGAGCUCCCUUUUGCAAACUUUGUCGGCAUCAAUCAUCAUGGACAAUCAAUUCUAUUGGAGUGUGCCCUUGUGUCGCAUGAGACCUGUGAAACCUACACUUGGGUCUCUAAACAAUGGCAAGCAUGUAUGAGGAACUGCCCGCCAUUAGGAAUGCUUACCGACCAAGCAGCUGUAAUGAGGAAACCACUUGCUGAAAUUAUGCCUUCAUCUCGACAUAGGUGGUGCAUAUGGCACAUAAUGAAGAAGUUUCCUGAGAAGCUUGGCAAAUGUAAGUUGUACAAUGAAUUCAAAAGUCCUCUUAAGGCUCUCAUAUACGAAAGCUUUACUGUGGAGGAAUUUGAGAGCCGGUGCUGUGCGUUCAUUAAGCAAUACCAACUUGAAGAAAAUGAGUGGCUUACAGAAUUUUCAAUGAGCGGCAUAUGUGGGUUUCUCCUUCAUGAAGGAGUACUUCUGGGCUGGUAUGAAGACCACCCAAAGGGUGGAAAGCAUUAACAGUUUUUUUGAUGGGUUUGUGAACCGCAAGACUAAACUUUAUGAGUUUCCCCAAAGUACACCAGAGCAAUGACUAAACGUGUCAAAGAUGAAACUGACGCAGAUGCAAAAUCAACAAAGUAUGUUCGAAGGUUGGUGAGUGGGUUUAAGGUUGAGAGACUUUAUCAGAAAUUUAUAUUGAUGCCAAAUUCCAAGAGAUUCAAAAGGAAUUGUCGAGGAUGAUGUAUUGCUAUGGGCAGGAGGAAAGAGUUAUUGAUGAAAAUAAUGUCCAUUAUUACCUUGAGGAUCGAGUGUGGGUGGUUCUGGAAGGACGGAGUUAAGAGGUUAUAACCGAUAGAAGGCGCAUGUAUUGUGUUAGGUUCAACCGAGUGUCCAAAGAAGUGAGCUGCGAUUGCUGUAAAUUUGAAACGUUUGGGAUCUUUUGCAAGCAUUGCAUACGUAUCCUAGAUCAAAAUCUAGUGUUUGAUAUACCGGAGAAGUAUAUUUUGGACCGUGGCGCAAGGAUGUAGUAAGAAAGCACACUCGGGUCAAGGUUGCCUACCACGAUCCAUCCGACACAAUGGAGGUUCAAAGGUUCAAUAGGAUAAUGACUAAGUUCAAACCUAUUUGUGAUGAAGCUUCAAUGGUUGAUGAUGAUACAGUUGACAUGGUUCUGUCCACUUUGUCCAAGCUCAGGAUUGAUGUCAGUGAUCGGCGGAAGAAGUUUAUUGAAGCAAAUGGUGUUCUGACCCUCCCUAGUACACAAUAUCCCACAUCUGGGAAAGGUUCCACUAGUAACGCUAUAACUCCAUCUUCAGAGAGAAAACGAAUUCCCACACAUACUCCCGAGGGUGUGGACUUGGUUGAUCCCGAUGAUGAUGUACCUGACCAAGUGGUUAGCCAGCCUAAAGCUGUACCUCAAAUUAGCCAGCAAUUACUUGACCCAAAUACCAACAAAAGGCCUCGAGGGAGGCCUAAAGGAUCUCGCAACAAACCCUUAUCAGAGACAGGCUACAAAACCACAAACAAGAAACAGGGGAAGGAUGUGCAGCCUACAGAUGCAGAUAUGGACAUGGAUUUACCUAUGAGAGAUGUGCUUCCAAGCCUUGCUGCUCCGAAACUCGUGCCGGCUAAGGUUGUUAAAUUGUCAUUGUUAUUCCAGUCUAUAAAAUGCUGUUACAACCUAAAGUUGGAGCUUAUGCUGUACUCUGUCAACUUUGGUACUCUGUGAAGCAGUAGUUGAUGUCGUACUGUGUUCUUUCCAAAGGAAGAAAAAAACCAAGAGACAGUGCAAGAACAAUGGUUUGAAAUUGGCUACGUGCCGUGAAGAUGUUUCAAUGGAAUUCUAAGGACAACCUGGUUGCAUGGUGAUUAAGAAGAACUGUGUGCUUCGUUGUCGAGACUUUGUGUUAUGUAAUGUAUGAUAUUUUCAGGACAUUCAUACUGCCGUGGUAUUGUGGAGACUUAGUCUUAUGUAAUGUAUGUUAUUUUCAGGACA